UACAGAGGGGGCAAGCGUUGUUCGGAAUUACUGGGCGUAAAGGGCGCGUAGGCGGCCUUCUAAGUCGAACGUGAAAUCCCCGGGCUCAACCCGGGAACUGCGUCCGAUACUGGAUGGCUUGAAUCCGGGAGAGGGAUGCGGAAUUCCAGGUGUAGCGGUGAAAUGCGUAGAUAUCUGGAGGAACACCGGUGGCGAAGGCGGCAUCCUGGACCGGCAUUGACGCUGAGGAGCGAAAGCCAGGGGAGCAAAACGGGG
rnacentral:rRNA from 1 species